UGAGGAAUCUUCCGCAAUGGGCGAAAGCCUGACGGAGCAAUACCGCGUGGGGGAGUGAAGGACCCUAGGUUUGUAAACCCCUUUUCUCGGGAAAGAAGUUCUGACGGUACCCGAGGAACCAAGCAUCGGCUAACUCCGUGCCAGCAGCCGCGGUAAUACGGGGGAUGCAAGCGUUAUCCGGAAUUAUUGGGCGUAAAGGGUUGGAAGGUUGUCUAAAGUGGUUUUUAUCACGUAAAGUCUAUUGUUAAAUACCGGGGCUUAACUCCGGGCAAGCAAUAGAAACUACUAGGCUUGAGUAUGGCAGGGGUAGAGGGAAUUUCUAGUGGAGCGGUGAAAUGUGUCGAUAUUGG
rnacentral:rRNA from 1 species